AGCUUCAGAAUAAUUUUCUAUCAGAAGCAAUGUCAUUGUUUAAAAAUCUGCUGACAACUUUGUCCCAAACACUGUAAAGUCAUGUGCCACUCCCUUUUCUCGUUUCCAGCUCAGCUCUAAAAAAUUAUGAAAGCUGAAAUCUGUCAUGUUCAAUCAGAGAGCAGCACGUUGACAAGGGCGGUGCAUCCUGGGAAGCUGUGGAAGCUGCCCUAUACUGCAGCACUCUUUAGCUUCUUCCACCUUAGUGCAUGUGCCAACCAGCUUGGGCUCUUUGCUGAAGAUCCUGCGGAGCAGGAAAAUGUUUUCUUCUGAUUGUCAUCCUAUACUGUGAUGUCCAGACUUCUGUGGUUGGAAAACCAUGGUAACAUCAGUCAGUCCUCUCACAUUAUACAAGGGACACUGUGACCUGCUUUGACCAAUGGAUGGAGUUAAUACAAGACCAAAUGUAAAGCCUGAUUGGAAAGAAGUACCUGAGAGACCUUCUGUGCCACAGACAAUUUUUCUAGAUGAGAGACCUUUUUUUAUUACAGAGAAGUAUCAAGGGAGUACAAACACCUCUCUGAAAAACACAAGUUAUUUUGGCAA